rnacentral:tRNA from 1 species
GCGUCUGUAGCCUAGUUGGUAAAGGCAGCACUCUAGUAUGUGUCUCAGCAUAACUGAGGUUGUGAGUUCGACUCUCACCAGACACA